CAGGCCCCAUGCUGCAGAGGAAGGUGAAAAACCUCCAGGAUCUCUGCCAAUCUUCCCCAGGGGAAAAUUCCUUCCCAACCCCAAAUAUGGUGAUCAGUUAGACCCUGAGCAUGUCGGUAAGACGCACCAGGCAGACUCCUGGCAAAGAAUUCUCUGUAGUAACUCUCAGCCUUCCCCAUCUACUCUCCUAUCACCAGCCAUUGGAGAUAUUUGCUGCUAGCAGUCGCAGAUCGGCUACAUGACAUUGUAGACCAGUGGUCCCCAAUCUUUCUGUGGGAAUAGCAUAUUGCUAUUCCCAGAAGACUGUGGUGGGUGCUGGACACCCCGCCACCAAAAUGCCGCUGAGAAACGGCAACACAUCUUGGCGGCAUUUCAGCAGGUGGUUCUCUGGCAGCCGUGCUUGGCGGCGGUAUUUUGGUGACGCGGUGUCCUGUAGGCACACAAAAAUGCCCCAGCGGGUGCCAUGGCUCCCGUGGGCACCAUGUUGGGGACCACUGUUGUAGACAGUCUCAUCAUAAAAUUCCCUCCAUAAACUUGUCAAGCUCAGACUUGAAGCCAGUUAGACUUUUUUGCCCCCACUGCUCCAGUUGGAAGACUGUUCCAGAACUUCACUUCUCUGAUGGUUAGAAAGCUUUGUCUAAUUUUGAGCCUAAUCUUGUUGAUGGCCAGUUCUUAUGUCCACAUUGGUGUUGAACUUACAUAAAGUGUGUGAUUUAUACUUAAUAGGUGAUUUUCAGAGUGAGGAAAAAGUGUAUCUUGCUGGUAUAUCUUUCAAUAGUGUCCACAUUCACUUGAUUCUAUACUUUCUUUUGUGAAGGAAAUCAUUUUUAGUCUGUACAAAGACUCAAAGGAGAAACUUCCAUUUCACCUCCAAAGAAAUGCGCAAGGGUCCACACACCUAUUUCAAAGUGAUUAAGUGACUUAUAAGUGUAAGUCCCAUUUUCAAAUUUGAGUUAGGCAUAUAGGAACCUCAGUCUCAUGGAAUGUCAAUGGGAAAGUCAAUUUGACCAAAGCUCUAAAAUUAAACAAUAUCUUUCCUUUCUGGGGCUUUCAGAAUUAUCCACACAGAGCAUGAUGCAUUCAGUUUUGAAGUGUUAGAUGUAUUUAUUUAGACUUACAAGAGCCACAAAGAAAUGCCUCAAAUUAUUUAAAAGCACAACUAAUAUAAACAUAUUUGUAAAUAACACUCUGUGUUUAGAAGGACGCUAUCUAUUUGAAAUCUAAUUCAUUAACAUAAAAGGUGAAAAGUACUUUCAGGUAUUAGCAUAUGUCCCUGAGUCCCCAUUGCCAAAUGUCGUGGUUUUUCAAUAGCAUUAUCCUACUCGCAAUAUUUGUCUCUCCUUGGUUGUUGUAUGAAAUAUGCAAACCCAGGGAAGAAGGUGCUCUAAGUCCCAAAUCCUGCAAAAACACACACACAGGAGUAGGACUGUUGAGUUCAAUGUGUAAAAUGGCCAAUGCAAUGCAAUUUGCAACGGUGUAAUUAAACACAAAGUAAAGAAAAGUGGAAAAAGGAAGAGAUUUUUCCCCGUAAUUUUUCAUUUAUAGUAAUUUUAGGUGGUGGUCAUAAAAAAAAAAAAAAAAAAAGUCAAGCAGAAGUGACUUUUAAGUUGCCAGUGUCCUUGAGUAACCAUUGCCUGAUGAAUGGAAUGGACAAGAGGACAGAGAACUGUGGCAGCAGUCUUUUCUGAUUCUCGUAGCUUUGGCAGCAGCUGUAUAUAGUGCUGAGCUUCACACUCAUUUCAUCACACUAUCUAGAGGCACUCUUUUGUUCAGUGAGGCGAGAGCACCGGGGUGUAACUGUGCAGCCACUUAAUAGCAUGGAAAGUUCAAGCUCAGCAUUCACCACACAGAGAAGGCUGUGUGUACUACUUUGAAAUCUCCCUAGUAAACCUCUUUUGACUGACAUAUUGGCCUGCUGAGUGAUGUGAUGCAGACUCUUAGGCUGACCUCUCUUGUAUUUCUGUUUACACUUCAUCUGAAGUAAUUUCCCAGUGUGAUGGAAAGAUGUCAUGCACUUUGGCUGGAAAGAUAAAAUAGAUAAAAAUGUAACCAGGUUACAGCAGGAAAGUAUCCCAAGGUUGUUUGCCAGCAGGUGCUUCCCAUGACAUUCCUUCUGGAAUUCUUAUGACUUCAACUGUUUGGUAAAGAGUCUGAGCAGCUUCUAAGAAACCAAGCGUCAGUGCCUUGGGAACUGAAAAGCAGUAGAAGAUGCAUGUAGUGGAGCCAGGCUUUUGUUUGCCUGUUUACACUUAAUUUCUGGUAGUCUUUUUAUUGUGUAUUCAUGGCCACAUGGAAGCACCACAAAAUACUGUGCUGAAAUAGGUUUCAUUUUGCUAAUCCUGUUUUAUUCUUAUUUCAUUGUAGCUUUGCAAAUGCCAUAAUGAAUUUGAAAUAUAUAGUUGAAUGAUACAGUGUCAUGGAAUGUAUUGGAAGCUAACCUGAAUACAUUUAAAACUAGACGCGAUUUUUUUUCAUGUGAAAUGCAGUUCACAUUCACUCAAUCACACUAUCUUGAAAUAAAAGCCCUGCAUACCAAACAGGGAAGGAAGUGUAAACCUCUAUUCCUGCAGCAUGCUCAAAUCUAUAAUGUGAGUGCAAUCAUUUUAUCCAUGCCAAAGAGGAACUUUUCUUUCAUGAGGACCUAAUAAAGGAAUUUUCUUCCACUUGUUUUUACUGUUUAUACAACCCAAAGAGUGCUAGUUGCUUGAAAUGGGUUUGCUAAAUUAUUACUAUUUUAUAUUGUGAUCGCACGUAGAGGCCCCAACUGAAAUUUGGGCUGCAUUGUACUGGCCCUGUGCAAACACAAUAAUGACAGUAUCUAUCCUGAGGAGCUUAAGCUUUGUCUACACUACACAUUUUUAUUGGCAAAAGGCACCUUUUGUUGACAAAGCAGUGGAGGUAUACAUACUGCGCUGCUCCUCCUGCCGACAAAACUCUCCUGCUCUGCCGACAAAAUAAAUCCACCUUGAUGAGAGGCAUAGAGAUGUUUUUGAGGCAAAGUUAGAUCGACAAAGUGUCAGUGUAGACACCGCACUUGGAUUUGUCACUGUAAAUGGCCUCCAGCAGGUGUCUGACAUUGGCUAUCCUGACCACACUGGUCAGCAGUUUGAACUGCGCUGCUCUGCACCCAGGUACGCAGGUAUCCACCCCUCCCCCUUUAAAGGCCUGAGAAUUUUUGAAAUUCCAUUUUCUGUUUGCUCUGUGUGGACCGGACAUCACAUCACAUCUUCCCAGCUUAUCAUGGCGUUGUCAGCAGCAAAUGCUCUUCCGCUUCGACCACAGCUGAGUUGUUGGAUCUGCUGAGUAUAUGGGGAGAGGAGGCUGUCCAUCCCAGCUGCACUCCAGCUGUAGGAACUUCAAUACCUAUGGGCAGAUUUCUCGUGGCCUGAGCAAUGAGGGCUACGAAUCGGGACACAGUUCAGUGCCGAGCAAAGAUAAGGAAGCUGAGGCAAGCAUACCAGAAUGCAAGGGAGGCAAACCCUCACUCUGGUGCUUUUGGGAAAGACCUGCAGCUUCUGUGAGGAGCUAGACCCCAUCCUCGGCGGUGACCCCACCACCAAAAGCCCGUGGAUACUUUGGUAGGGCUGGAAGUGGCAGACAGUGGAUCUAACCCUGAGGACAAAGUCAUGGACGAGGAGAUUGAGUUGGAGGAUGAUGUGGAGCACACGUCAGGGUUGUCCAGUGGCAUGGCAAGUCAGGACCUCUUUUCCACUUUUGAGGGAUCUAGCCAGUCGCAGCAGUUGAUCUCUGGUGCCCGUGAUGCAGAAGAGGAGAGCCCUGAUGUGGCUUUCGGGGAAACCUCCUACAUGCUGGCAGAAUGCCUCUGCCAGAUAAGAAGGCAUCAAAGGCGUAGCAAGGAGGACAUGUUCUGAGAGGUGCUCCAAUCCUCAGAGGCUGAAAAAAGAGAACAUGGAGUGGAGAGAAAAGGAAAAGGCAGUACAGAAAUGAGAGUGAGGAGCGCAUUCUAAAGGGCCAUGAGUGGGUGAUAAAAGUGAUAGAGGAACAAACAGAGAUGUUGAAGUCCCUAAUCAUGCUACAGUCAGAACAGAUGUGUGCUCAGCCCUCCCUCCUCAGCCAAUACAGAACUAUUUUCAAUGCCCUUCCCAAACUCCUCCCACACAUUCGGUGCAACUUCCUAGCAUGUCUGAAAAUCCUGUUUGCUCCAUCCCUUUGGACAGGUUCCAAAAUGAUAGCUGGACUUAUGCACAGCUCUGAGAGCCUUCACGGUCCUUCACUGUUAUCUCCCUUCCCACCAAACCUUUUCUGUGUUUUAAUUGUGUUUAAUAAAAACAAACUCUGUGAAAG